CUGAAGUUAUCAGAGAAACAAGCUUGAGGAAACGUUAGACAGCUCAGCUCCCAGCCGUUGGAGACGACUUGUCCCGUGUCUUCCGAACCGCAUCGAUAAAUCAAUUAUUUUUUAAAGUGAAACCGCUCUAUUCAGUGUUUCUACCAAUGUUCACCUCUUGGUCUGUGUGUUAUGGAGAGGAGGAAACCUUUGUGGAUAAUUCGGCUGCCGGUAAAAACCUGCGGAACGUCUCGAUCACAAGUUAUUAAAGACAAAAGGCAGUCAGACCAGGUGAGCUGAAAACCAGACGACCCAAAUCCACAGGGCUGUCACUCGCCUCCUCCCCAUGGUAACCAGAUGUGCAGAGAGCAUGAUCACACUGCUGAUGGCCCGCUGAUCCUCUAAUCCAUUUCAACAUCUGCAUUUCUGAUAAGUUUUACUUCCAACUUCAUGCUCGUGUGUGUGUGUGUGUGUGUGUGUGUGUCUGUGUGUGUCUGUGUCUGUGUCUGUCUGUGUGUGGGGUGUAAUCUGUGUGUUCCUAAGUUACCGUUCUGCCUUGGCCGUUUGAUCUGAAAGCUUUGCUUUACUUCUGUAAUCCUGCCAGCUGCCUAUCUCCAUCUCCAUCCACCCAUCACUCCAUCCAGGGGAUUUGACUGCCAUUAAGAGAUGGCUUUUUGGUGUGUGUGUG